rnacentral:lncRNA from 1 species
UGCCACCUAACAUAUAAGAUAUGAUGAAUAAUCUCCCUCUUUUUUCUCUCUUUCUUUUUGCUACUCUCUCUCUCUCUCUCUCUCUCUCUCUCUCUGGCAGCUGGCAGUAUUGGAUCUUCUCAGUCCUAAGCAGACGGCUGAGUUGAUGGUUCUGCCUCUCCCUCAUCCCCAAGGCAAAGAUGAGGUCAUCAACAGAGUGCUGGAUCACCUGCUGGAGUCACCAGUGGAGCGGAACCUUCCAGAAGUUCUUAUUCACGUCAUCGUCCUCUCCAGACAGCUUGAAGUACCUUGUGAGUUCUAUCAAGCAAUAAUCCCGAGGCUGAGGGGAUCAUUGACAUCAGUACCAGGAGAUCUGGAGCCAAUCAUCAGAUCAGCUGUGGAAGAACUGCUCCUACUUACUCCAAUAGGUCAGUACAACACACACACACACACACACACACACACACACACACAUACACACACACACACACACACACACACACACACAUGCUUACAUGCGUACAUACAUACCUACCUACCUACGUACAUACAUACAUACCUACCUACCUACCUACCUACCUACAUACAUACAUGCUGUAAAUACCUGCACACAUUAUAAGACAUAAACACACACAAACAUAGUCACACGCAUACACACACUAUUU